GCGGGAGUAGCUCAAUUGGCUAGAGUAUCAGCCUUCCAAGCUGAGGGUUGCGGGUUCGACCCCCGUCUCCCGCUCCA
rnacentral:tRNA from 1 species